rnacentral:rRNA from 1 species
AUGAUGGAGUCUGAUCAGCCAUGCCGCGUGAAGGAAGACGGCCUUCUGGUUUGUAAACUGCUUUUAUACGGAAGAAAUAAGGUCUAUGCGUAGGUUGAUGAGAGUACCGUAUGAAUAACCAUCGGCUAACUCCGUGCCAGCAGCCGCGGUAAUACGGAAGAUGCGAGCGUUAUCCGGAUUUAUUGGGUUUAAAGGGUGCGUAGGCGGCUUUGUAAGUCAUCGGUGAAAUUUUGCAGCUUAACUGUAAAAGCGCCGUUGAUACUGGAAAGCUUGGAUUUGGUUGCGGUGGGCGGAAUGUGUGGUGUAUCGGUGAAAUGCAUAAUGUUCACACAGAAUAUCGAUUGCGAAUGCAGCUCUCAAGGCCAAAAUUGACGCUGAGGCACGAAAGUGUGGGGAUCGAACAUGAUUACAUACCCUGGUAGUCCACACUGUAAACGAUGAUAACUCGAUUUCGGCCAUAAACCGUCGGUGGCCAAACGAAAGCGAUAAAUUAUCCACCUGGGGAGUACAACCGCAGGGUUGAAACGCAAAAGAAUUGACUU